rnacentral:rRNA from 1 species
GACGAACGCUGGCGGCGUGCCUAAUACAUGCGAGUAGAACGCUGAAGAGAGGAGCUUGCUCUUCUUGGAUGAGUUGCGAACGGGUGAGUAACGCGUAGGUAACCUGCCUGGUAGCGGGGGAUAACUAUUGGAAACGAUAGCUAAUACCGCAUAAAAUGGAUUAUCGCAUGAUAAUCCAUUGAAAGGUGCAAAUGCAUCACUACCAGAUGGACCUGCGUUGUAUUAGCUAGUUGGUGGGGUAACGGCUCACCAAGGCGACGAUACAUAGCCGACCUGAGAGGGUGAUCGGCCACACUGGGACGGAGACACGGCCCAGACUCCUACGGGAGGCAGCAGUAGGGAAUCUUCGGCAAUGGACGGAAGUCUGACCGAGCAACGCCGCGUGAGUGAAGAAGGUUUUCGGAUCGUAAAGCUCUGUUGUAAGAGAAGAACGAGUGUGAGAGUGGAAAGUUCACACUGUGACGGUAGCUUACCAGAAAGGGACGGCUAACUACGUG